GAUGAACGCUGGCGGCGUGCCUAAUACAAGCAAGUCGAACGCAUCCCGUUAAAUGAAGUGCUUGCACGGAUUUUAACAUUGGAUGAGUGGCGAACUGGUGAGUAACACGUGGGUAACCUGCCCAGAAGCAGGGGAUAACACUUGGAAACAGGUGCUAAUACCGUAUAACAACAAAAACCGCAUGGUUUUUGUUUGAAAGGUGGUUUCGGCUAUCACUUCUGGAUGGACCCGCGGCGUAUUAGCUAGUUGGUGGAGUAAUGGUUCACCAAGGCAAUGAUACGUAGCCGACCUGAGAGGGUAAUCGGCCACAUUGGGACUGAGACACGGCCCAAACUCCUACGGGAGGCAGCAGUAGGGAAUCUUCCACAAUGGACGAAAGUCUGAUGGAGCAACGCCGCGUGAGUGAAGAAGGUUUUCGGAUCGUAAAACUCUGUUGUUGAAGAAGAAUACGUUUGAGAGUAACUGUUCAGACGUUGACGGUAUUCAACCAGAAAGCCACGGCUAACUACGUGCCAGCAGCCGCGGUAA
rnacentral:rRNA from 1 species